rnacentral:rRNA from 1 species
CCUACGGGAGGCAGCAGUGGGGAAUAUUGCACAAUGGGCGCAAGCCUGAUGCAGCGACGCCGCGUGGGGGAUGACGGCCUGGUUGUAACUCCUUUCGCGUAGGGACGAAGCUUUUGUGACGGUACCUAGAUAAGAAGCACCGGCUAACUACGUGCCAGCAGCCGCGGU